ACGGUUGCCCUAGCAACAGCGUGGAGGCAGAGCUCCUGUUCCCGGGUCGGGAGCUUGCCGUGGUAGCUGGGCACGUCCUAAGUCUCGGCCCCCCAGGGUGCCUAGAUCGUGUGAGCACUUGCAAGACUCCAGGCUUCCCAGCUAGGGUUAGGGGCGGCCAAACAGGGAACAUGGCUGUGCCUUGGGAAGAAUAUUUCCGCCUGGCCUUGGAAAAAACGCCGCGGGCUGAGAAGACACCAGUUCAUGAGGACAAUUAUAUCAGCCAUGCUACCCAGCUGCUAGAGAAGAAGCAAGAGAUGGUAGAGAUGGAGGAGACUCUGCAAGCUAAGAAGGAGGAGUUCAAGGUAAAGAUGGCGGCCCUGAAGCAGCGAAGGGAGGCCCUAGAACAGAAGGAGGGGGCGCUGAAGGAGUCCAUGAUCCGCUUCGACAAGUUCCUGAAGGACACAGAGGCCAAGCAGAAUCGGGCCCUGCGCCGGGCGGAGGAAGAGCGGCGGAAGGAGGCCGAGGCCGAGGCCCUGGAGGAGGAGUUGGAGGGGCUGGUCCAGAAGAAGGAGCGGCUGGAGCGGACGAUGAACAAAUACCGGCCCUUCGCCCAGUAUCUGGAGCAGGUGGUGGCCCAGUCGGAGGAGUUUCAGGAGAUCCCCGAGCUGAUGGCCCGCUUCGGCGGCCUGGCCGACAUUCAGGCCAUCCUGGCCGAGCGCGAGCAGGCUUUGCACCAGGCCCUGGAGGAGGCCCGGCUCGAGCUGCUCAGGCUGGUGGAGGACAAGAACGACGAGGUCCUGCGGCAGAACAACCGGCUGGCCGACCUGCAGCUGCGCCUGGAGGAGGUCAGGACGGAGGCGCUGCAGUGGGAGUCGAGGUGGGUCCACAUCCAGAACACGGCAGCCCAGAAGACUUUGCUUCUUGGGCGGAUCAAGAUGGCAGCCCUCAACCUGUACCAGAAGGUCUGUAAGCAGAGGAAGGAAGUUCCAGCGUUGGCCAUGGAGGACACCGAGGGGCAGCUGGAGCAGGUGAGGGGAGCCGGAAGCCCCAGAAACAGCCUGAACCAAACCUCUCACGCUCUAGGAAGCCCCUCUACCCGGCCAUCCGCUCAGGUCAGAGUGGAGCUCCUCAGGACGAGGCCAUAAGGCUGCGGGUCCCGUACGGACCAGCAACGUGAGAAUAAAAGAGGGAAAAGCUUGGCCUGAGUGGGAUCUGGCCCCGGCUCUCCUUCCUCUCUCCGGGCCUGUUUCUUUAUCUGUAAAUUCCCAAGUGACCACCUAAAGGCUUCUCCUCCCAUCCCUGGACACUGGUGAGCACUCUGCCCUCCAGGCUUGGGGCUGCCCUCUUAAGGCCAGUCACUUGGCCCCCAUCGCCAGCCCUUCCCACUCGUCUGCCUCGGACCACAGGACCGAUUCUAAGACAGAAGGGAGGGUCAAAAAUGAAAUAAAGGACGACUUGGGGAGAGCUGUCUUGGGAAACAGUGUUGGCUCAAAAGCAGAAGGUGCAGCUCUGCUUCCAGGAUCUUUCUGCCAUGUUGGCCAAGUCUCACCAGGGAGACCCCAGGCCUCCAGCUGACCGCU